AUUGAGCAUGCUAAGAUGGUUGUGAAGUUCCUUUAUGGUCAUGGGACUAUACUUUCUUUGAUGAGAAAGUAUACAAACGGUAAAGAAAUUCUCCGUCCCGCUGUUACUCGCUUUGCUACUUCAUUUCUCACUCUUCAGAGUAUGUAUAAGGUUAAAAGGCCACUUGAACAAAUGUUUGCUUCCGAAGAUUGGGUUAGUUCACCACUAUCUCAAACAACUAAGGGGAAGGUCGUGAAGAGAAUUGUUAUUAAUGAUCCCAACUUUUGGCCACAUGUUGCAUUUUGUGUUAAGAGUGUUGUUCCUCUUGUAAGUGUGUUAAGGGAAGUUGAUUCGGAGGAGAGAUCGGCCAUGGGAUAUAUUUAUGAACUUAUGGAUAAGGCAAAAGAGACAAUAAAAUUUAAUUGUGGGGGAGUUGACAGAAAAUACAAACCCAUUUGGAAAAAAAUUGAUUCACGAUGGACUCCACAACUUCAUCAUCCUCUACACGCGGCCGGGUACUAUUUGAAUCCGCAAUUGCGUUAUGAAGAAAGAUUUUCUUAUUGUGAUGAAGUUAGAGAUAGAUUGUAUACUUGCAUGGAUAGGAUGUUGUCUUCUAAUGAUCGUCUUAAAGCAAACAUCCAAUUGGACUUAUAUAAUAAAGCUGAAGGAGAAUUUGGAACUCCAAUAGCAAAACGAACAAGAAUGUUGCGAACUCCGGGUAAAAUUUUCUUCUUGUAACCGUUCUUGUAAAAUUAUACUAGCAUUCAUAUUUUAAAAUUAUAUACAUUCUUGUAAUUUUUUUUAAUGUUAUUACUUAUUAGUCUCGUGGUGGGAACGCUUUGGAAGUAAGACACCCGAGCUUACUACAUUUGCAAUUCGAGUGCUUGGUCUCACUUGUAGUGCUUCGGGAUGUGAAAGAAAUUGGAGCACUUUUGAAUCGGUGAGUAUUCUAAGUUUCUAACUCUACUUGAAUUUUAAUUGUUUUAUAAUUUUCAUAUCAUUGUUUAUUUUUAUAUAUAUAUGUUUUCUUUUUUGUAAUAUUAGAUUCAUAUAAAAAAGAGAAAUAGGCUUGAACAUGCAAAGUUGAAUGCGUUGGUGUUUGUGAAAUAUAACUUCAAGCUUAGGGAGAGAAGUAUUAGGAGGAGAGACAAGAUUGAUCCCAUUGUAGUUGAUGAAAUUAAUUCAGAUGAUGAAUGGAUAACUGAGAAAGAAGGUCCAGUUCUCCCCGUAACUACUAAAUGGCUUGAAGAUGAUGAAUUAUUUGAAAGUGAUCCUAUUGUGAGUGUGCCAUCUGCUACCUUUGAAAGUCUUUUCGACUCAGAUAAGCGAGUCGAAGAUGUUGAGGAUAUAGUUGAAGUUCCUCCUACGAAUUCAAAAAAAAGAGUUGCUGAAAAUUCAAGUGGAAGCAAAGACAAACAAGCAAGGUUGAGUCUUGUUGAUGUGGAAGAUAAUCAUCUUGAUGCUGAAAAUUAUGGAGUAAUUCCAACUUUUGAUAGUGGAAAUUUUCCAACCAUAGACACUAUUGAUGAUGAUAGUGAUAUAGAGUUGGAUGAUACUGAUUAUUUUUAAGUUAUGUUGUUUUAAUUAUAAGACUUUUUAAAUUGUUGGUAUGGGAUAUUUUGACAUGUAAUGAAUUAUUAUGAUUAAUUUUAGGUUAUGUUAUUUUUA